rnacentral:rRNA from 1 species
UACGUAGGUGGCAAGCGUUGUCCGGAUUUACUGGGCGUAAAGAGCGCGCAGGCGGUCGUUCAAGUCGCGUGUGAAAGCCCCCGGCUCAACUGGGGAGGGUCACGCGAUACUGAUCGACUCGAAGGCAGGAGAGGGAAGUGGAAUUCCUGGUGUAGCGGUGAAAUGCGCAGAUAUCAGGAGGAACACCGAUUGCGAAGGCAGCUCGCUGGGACGUUACUGACGCUGAGACGCGAAAGCGUGGGGAGCAAACAGG